UAAAAGACCAUCCCAGUUCGGAUCGCAGGCUGCAACCCGCCUGCAUGAAGUUGGAAUCGCUAGUAAUCGCGGAUCAGCAUGCCGCGGUGAAUACGUUCCCGGGCCUUGUACACACCGCCCGUCACACCAUGAGAGUCGGGAACACCCGAAGUCCGUAGCCUAACCGCAAGGGGGGCGCGGCCGAAGGUGGGUUCGAUAAUUGGGGUGAAGUCGUAACAAGGUACC
rnacentral:rRNA from 1 species